rnacentral:rRNA from 1 species
AACGAACGCUGGCGGCAGGCUUAACACAUGCAAGUCGAACGCCCCGCAAGGGGAGUGGCAGACGGGUGAGUAACGCGUGGGAAUCUACCCAUCUCUACGGAAUAACUCAGGGAAACUUGUGCUAAUACCGUAUACGCCCUUCGGGGGAAAGAUUUAUCGGAGAUGGAUGAGCCCGCGUUGGAUUAGCUAGUUGGUGGGGUAAAGGCCUACCAAGGCGACGAUCCAUAGCUGGUCUGAGAGGAUGAUCAGCCACAUUGGGACUGAGACACGGCCCAAACUCCUACGGGAGGCAGCAGUGGGGAAUAUUGGACAAUGGGCGCAAGCCUGAUCCAGCCAUGCCGCGUGAGUGAUGAAGGCCCUAGGGUUGUAAAGCUCUUUCACCGGUGAAGAUAAUGACGGUAACCGGAGAAGAAGCCCCAGCUAACUUCGUGCCAGCCGCCGCAGUAACAC